UAAACAAAAAUAAAUAAAUUGCAAACAAAAAAUAAAAAUUUGAGAGAUAUAAUCUUACUCAAGCAAAAAAAUAAUACUUGCAAUCAAAAUAUUUGUGUGACUGUGUAAAUAUUUAGCCUUUUACUUUUCCAAUCAUCAGUUCUUUUGUUUACAGUUCUGUCUUUUUUUCCCUCACUGAUCAGACUUUUGUUUUCAAUGCCAGCUUUCUCAUUUGCGCUGCCUGACAUUUUGCUUGAGAUUUUUGGCACAAACCUCUCGGGUGGGCGGGCCUUGUGAGGAAUGCGUCCUCAUUGGCUGACUAGUUUUUGAGUGACACCCCGUGCCCCGGAUGUUGUUCUGUACGGCGGGUGAAUUCGGAUGUGUGGGAUGUACUGUGGUAAGCUACUCUAACGUAAAAAAGUCAUCUCAGGACUCCCCCACCUCCGCUACCGGUCUGACCUCCCCUCUAUAAUGAUGCAGUCCCAGGAUCAAGUGCGGUAUGAAAUCUUGCAGAGGAUUCAAGCUAGAUUUAGUCUCAUUCUCAGAAAUGAAACAAUUGAUUUGGAAUACCUUCUGGAUGUUGCUCAACAAGAGUUUCAUUGGCAACAAUGGCAUCACAUCACCUGAGCAUCCCUCCAGAACUCAUCAGCAGUCUACAGCAGUUGAUCAACACCCUCAGCGUCAAUGUUUUAUAUGGUCCUGAAGCAUCUGCAAAUGUGUCAAAUACUGUAACUGUCCCUAUGGGGAAUCGGGGACGGCCACGCCUGGAAAUUGACACUGAAGACCUUCGUCAUCUCCUUUCUACUGCUCUUCCUGUGGAAUAUUUUGCCAGGUUGUAUGGUGUUUCAAGAAGAACACUGAACAGGCGGAUGAAAGAGGAUGGCCUCUCUGUUCGUGGAUUUUACUCGAAAAUAUCAGAUGAUGAUCUUGAUCGUGCAGUAAGGUCCAUCAAAACAAGAAUGCCUCAUGCUGGGUAUAGACUGGUAAAAGGUGAGCUGUUAGCCAGAGGCCACCGUGUGCAGUGGGACAGGGUGAAGGCUACCAUGCACCGAGUGGAUGGAGCAGGAAUUUUGGCUAGGAUGAUACAACUUGGAUUUGUCGCUCGCAGAAGCUACUGUGUUCCUGCACCAUUGUCCUUGGUUCAUGUAGACACCAACCAUAAAUUAAUCAGGUGAGUGAUUCUAUCAUCUUGUGCUCACUCUUACACUCUCACUCACAGUCAAAUUUUUUCUUUAUUUUUGUCUUUUGCCCAUCAAAUGUAUGGAAGAUAUGUACUAUCUUCUCCUCAGAUUUAAUAUUGUCAUCU